rnacentral:lncRNA from 1 species
GAAUUCAAAACCACAUUCAGCAAAUGAUUUCAAAAACAGAACUUGCUUCUACCAAAUCAAACCCAGUACGAAUUCAAAACCACAUUCGUUUUCCAACACUUGCUCCCACCAAGUCAAACCCAGUAUGAGUUCUUGUCUGAUUACCUUUUCACGCCAGCAGCAGCUCAAGUUCUCUGCAAAAACAGAACAAACCAGAGAAAUGAUAGUAGGUGACAGCGGUAGGUGACAGUGGCAGCGGGGACGAGAGUCGGCGAUGAGCAGCGGUGGCAAAUCAGAUUCGUGAAGGAUGAGCAGCAGCAGCAGCGGGGACGAGAUUCCAGCGGUGAAGGGGCUGCGGCUUCGGUUUUCGGCUGAAGAGUGAAAAUAAGAAGAAUGUGUUAAAUUAGAGAUUGUUUAUUUGUUUUGGCAUUCGGUUUUUUCCUGUGGUCGGUUC